rnacentral:lncRNA from 1 species
UUCUUUGGUUCCGGUCACCACAUGAUACGGACCUCCCCUGCCCAGCCCGGGCUGGGUGGGGGAGGGGAGCCAUGCGGCCUGCACAGGUAGGCCAGGAGGUAAAGGAUCGGAACCGGCUGGGUCAGCUCCUGCGGAUGGAAGGGUGGAGAACAUCUGGGAUGUUUUUGUUCCCCCUCCCCUAAGCCAGAGGGAAAAGAGAUAGAGAGCCAGCAGACACCUAGAAGUUUGCUGGCGGAGGAGAAGGAGAAGGGGGGGGGAAGAUGCCCAGCGUGGGAGACUAGAGAAAGAGUCCUGGGCUGAGAUUGCAGCCGUCCGGGGAGUCCGGGACUUUUAACCCUUUCCUGUGAAAUGAAGGCUUUAUGAAAUAUUACUCCUCCUGAAUUUGAAGAAAAGAGAGACAGCCUGAAACCUCAGAUGUUCAGAGAAGAAGGUUGGGGGCAGAUGAUAGAGUGGCCUUUGGCUGGACUCUGCUUGUUUACCAUAGACUGAACCACUCUUUCUUUCAAGAGGGACUGCAUUUUAGGGGGAUGCAUUGGUGAGCCAAGAGACCUUCUGCAGCAACUACCAGUUUUGGAGUGGACAGAGAGAGAGCUGAGGAGGGUGUGAGGAUGCCCUCCAUCUUCAGGAAGAAGAGAAGGCGAUCUCUGUCUUUUGGACCCUCGGCCCCAGGGGAAAAUGGGGGGACUCUAGUCCCGAAUUGUGAUACUGGACUGUUGUUCCUGGUGGUCCUUGGCAAAGCAUCCUUAAAGGGGCCCUAUAAGCAGUCUCUGUCCAUGCCUGGUGGUGAGAGCACUGUGACAUGGAGAGGAGAGUGUCACACUGGCCGGUGUGUCUGGGCGGUGCCACGUGUGACAUUGGAAACACAAAAGGUGGCAGUUGUGUUUCCUGGGGGUCUAUGGUUGCAAGGGGGACUCCUCUCUUCCCCGAUGGACUCAGUAUUGAUUAUAUUGAAGGGUGAAAACUUGAUUAAGGAUCCAAAUGGGUCUCGCUGGGGUUUGGUGGAGUUGGGUGGAGGGAGGAGGAAUAUUUUGGAAGGUUUUCAUUUCGAAUUUUGUGUGGUUUUUUUUUUUUUCCCUUUCCUUUCUUUUCCUUUUAUAGUAGUAGUAGUAGUAGUAGUGUAAUAAAGCUUUUUCCUUUGUUAUUA